rnacentral:rRNA from 1 species
GACGAACGCUGGCGGCGUGCCUAAUACAUGCAAGUCGAACGCAGUUUCGAACAGGUGAGUAACGCGUAGGUAACUGCCUCCUCGCGGGGGGUAACUGUUGGAAACGAUAGCUAAUACCGCAUACUGUGUGAUGUACCUGCGUUGCAUUUGGUAGUUGGUGAGGUAAAGGCGCACCAAGGCGACGAUACAUAGCCGACCUGAGCGGGUGAUCGGCCACACUGGGACUGAUACGCGGCCAAGACUCCUCCGGGAGGCAGCAGUAGGGAAUCGUCGGGAAUGGUGGGAAGUCUGACCGAGCAAGGCGGCGCGAUGGAAGAAGGUUGUUGGAGCGUUAAGCGUUGUUGUUCGAGAAGCGGUAUCUAAACAGAAAGCGCCGGCUAACUACGUGCCAGCAGCCGCGGUAAUUC